ACAUUGGAGUGCUUCACAAACCUGUAAGUGCUGCUAUCCAGUCACUGGUACAGACACAAAUAAAGAUAAAUCUUCUCGAAGGAAAUUAACUGAAGCCAGCGGGCCAUUAGCUAACCAUUCUGGAACACUUCACUGUGGUCAUACAGAGAGAGAACUGAAAGAUGGACAAUUAAGAUCUGGCAACAUGCAAAAGGUUUCCUCUGCACCAGAUGUAAACGGCACCGGCAUUUUUACCAGAAAGAAAGCUGCUUUAAAAACUGGCAAAAACAAGCAAUGAAAAGAGAUAACGUUUAAAUGACUUAGCACACUUAUUGGGGGACUUGUUUGUAUGUUUCUCUGAAUUCCAACCUUUAGUGAAAUGUUCUCAUCCAUUUUUAGUGAGGAAAACUUGAAUGAUUUGCUUCAGCAGAACUCAUCUCUACAGCAGUCAUUAUUGCUUGAAUUCACAGGGGCAACAGUCUGAAUCCCAACUCCCACCGGAUGAUAUAGAGGCCUGCAUGUACAGCAGGUGGCAUUACAGGAGAAGAAACCUGAGUUUGGGGCACCCACAUGUUACAUGGGCAGUAAUUUUGCCUGACUUUUGCCUUCGAGGGAAACAUUAUCUACAAGGCUGUAAGCAAAUCUACCCUUUGCUUCAGAGGAAACACUCUACUCUCUCUGUCUUCCAAGAGUGCUCACUAUACAGUCAUCUUUGAAAGGACAGUCUGGAACAAGAUGUGCAGAAACAUGAGAGACCCGCGGAGAAGUUUCCGAUGAGUAUUGCACUCUGUCAGCUACCUACCGAGCGUAUAAACCACCAGGUUCUACCUUAGUGGGGCUGUGAAACACACAAAGCUAUGGCUGUAGCAGGCUGGCUUGAGGGACGAAUGCCGGGGUGAGUGCUACCAGAGAGAAGGCCAAGUGCAGCAGGAGGAGGAGAGAGCAAAGAGAAGUCUCACCUGG